UAAGACGCGCUAUCAACGGGAAAACGAGAUUCAAGGAGUUCACCGCAGCUACAGUGUUUGAAUAUGGCCCAGUGGCUCACGGCGCGACCUCACUUUGACUAACGAGCUUCAGAGAGAAAGAGGGGUUUCAAGGACAGAGGCCUGGGGACCACAAUGCUUCACGACAAAAGCAGAGUUUGAGGGAGAAGAAAGCUAGCGGCGUAACCUAGGGCACAACACAGUGGAGUUGCGGCUAGCGUGUUUUGAAAGUUGACGCAUGGGCCAAGGCCGGGGAUGCAAUUAGUAUAGUCUAUACAAAGACGGGCUUAGCCUAUAACCGUCGUUGUCCCAAUUAUGAUAAUUACAAGAUUAUAUUCUAAGACGGUUCUUUGG
rnacentral:lncRNA from 1 species